GCCAGACUCCUACGGGAGGCAGCAGUGAGGAAUAUUGGUCAAUGGUCGGGAGACUGAACCAGCCAAGCCGCGUGAGGGAUGAAGGUACAGAGUAUCGUAAACCUCUUUUGUCAGGGAACAAAGGCGGGGACUAGUCCCCGGAUGAGGGUACCUGAAGAAAAAGCAUCGGCUAACUCCGUGCCAGCAGCCGCGGUAAUACGUAGGGGGCGAGCGUUAUCCGGAUUUACUGGGUGUAAAGGGAGCGUAGACGGUUUUUCAAGUCUGAAGUGAAAGCCCGCGGCUCAACUGCGGAACGGCUUUGGAAACUGAGGGACUAGAGUGCUGGAGGGGCAGGCGGAAUUCCUGGUGUAGCGGUGAAAUGCGUAGAUAUCAGGAGGAACACCGGUGGCGAAGGCGGCCUGCUGGACAGUAACUGACGUUGAGGCUCGAAAGCGUGGGGAGCAAACAGGAUUAGAUACCCGUGUAC
rnacentral:rRNA from 1 species